rnacentral:rRNA from 1 species
CAGCCGCCGCGGUAAUACGUAGGGUGCGAGCGUUAAUCGGAAUUACUGGGCGUAAAGCGUGCGCAGGCGGUUCGUUAAGACAGAUGUGAAAUCCCCGGGCUUAACCUGGGAACUGCAUUUGUGACUGGCGUGCUAGAGUAUGGCAGAGGGGGGUAGAAUUCCACGUGUAGCAGUGAAAUGCGUAGAGAUGUGGAGGAAUACCGAUGGCGAAGGCAGCCCCCUGGGCCAAUACUGACGCUCAUGCACGAAAGCGUGGGGAGCAAACAGGAUUAGAUACCCGCGUAGUCCCUGUCUCUUAUAC